AGCCCAACUUCACAUUUUUCAGCGCCAAAUUCAUCUCUCCAUUUUGAAACCCUCAAAAUUACUCUCUUUCUCUCUCCUACCUCAAUUCUCAGCGUUACACACUCACUAGAAAAUCGAUUCAUCCUUCGAUUACUUUUCCGAUCUCUACUACUAACUUCAGCAGUCAGCACUACUGUUUCUUUUCUCAGAAUCUAAAGAUGACGCGAGAAGAGGUUGAAAAUGGAAGAGAUGACAUGUUAAUCGAUGGUCCGGAAGCACAAAACCCUAACCCUAAUGUGAUUCCCGAAGAUUUCAAUGCCAGUUACCUCAAACUUUAUUAUGCGAAGCUAUUUCCUUAUUCUGAUAUGUUUAAAUGGAUGUCAUAUGGAAAUGAUGGAAAACACCCAGGAUGUGAUCAGUCUUAUUUUGGCAGAAGGGAAUUUUCAUUUACGUUGGAUAAUGACAUAUAUUUGCGGUUUCAAUCUUUCAAAACCGCUUCAGAACUCGAAAGUGCAGUCAAGGAAAAAUGCCCCUUCAAAAUAGACAUCGGGCCGGUUUAUAGUGUUGAUCCAUCUAAGAGACAUGCGUAUGCACAAACUGGGGACAAUGUCUUCACUCCUAAGGAAAGAGAGCUGGUAUUUGAUAUUGAUAUGACAGACUAUGAUGAUGUGAGAUAUUGCUGUUCUGGAGCUGAUGUAUGCCGGGAGUGUUGGCCCCUGAUGACAGUUGCUAUUAAAAUUAUUGACACUGCUCUUAGAGAUGAUUUUGGUUUCAAUCACAUCCUUUGGGUAUUCAGUGGCCGGCGUGGUGUACAUUGUUGGGUUUGUGAUGCAAAAGCAAGAAGGUUAACCAAUGAACAACGAGCUGCUAUCGCAGAAUAUUUUCAUGUGUACAAGGGCAAUGAGAAUAGCCAGAAAAAGGUUUUCUUAGGGGGUUCUGCUCUUCAUCCAUUUCUUGCGAGAUCAUACACUGAAGUUCUGAGGAAAUAUUUUGAAGAUACAUAUCUAAGUAGCCAGAAGCUACUAUCUUCAGAAGAGAGAUACGAGAAGGUUCUAGAGAUGAUUCCUGAUGAAUCUAUUACUUCCGAGCUACGGGGGAAAUGGCAAGAUAAUCGAAGAUCUUCCAUAAGUAGAGAAGACACUAAUAUUGUUCGCUGGGGGCAACUAAAGCAUGUCCUUCAAUCCGGGAAGCAAAAGGGACAAGGACUUCGCAGGUGCGUUGAAGAGAUUGUAUUCUCUUAUACUUACCCCAGGCUUGAUAGUGAGGUCUCCAAACACAUGAACCAUUUAUUAAAAGCGCCUUUCUGUGUACACCCAAAAACAGGUCGUGUAUGUGUUCCUAUUGAUCCCAAUCAGUGUGAGGAAUUUGACCCUACCACUGUACCAACCCUUUCUCAGCUUCUAGAUGAACUUAAUAGAGCAGGUCUUGGUGGGGACAUCGAAGCUGAUUUGGAGAGAACCUCGCUUGGCAAGUCGAUUGCACUUUUCAGGUCAUCAUUUUUGCAACCCCUGUUAAAAUCGUGCAAGGAAGAAUUGGAAGAUUCUUAUAACAAAAAGCUGCAGCAGAGCAAGGACUCGUUGACUUGGUAGAUGUUUCCUUUUGGUUUAUCUGGAGUCUAGGAUUUUCUUCUGUUUUCUGCCAUGGCUAUUGAAUGUCAAAGGACAGGACCACCACGUGAAAAUGGUAGCAUCCAUGCCUCUCAUAAUAAUAUGCCAGAGUGGUGAGCUAUUGUACUACCCUCCUCUUCUCUCCUCAUUUUGCUAAUAAGAGGAUCAGAUUAUCGCCCUUGCCCAACACUUGCUACCAAGUACUCCCUCUGUCCCGAAAAUGUUGCUACAUUUUGACCAUUGGCACUAUUCACUUGGUGUCUUUGACUGUAUUUUAGUUGAUAUACAUAAGAAAAAACAUAGUCAUGUUGGAUCUUAUUUGAUUCGUCCCAGUUUGUAUUUUUCAAAUAUAUAAUUUUUAUAUUUUUUCAUAUAUAUAACUCAAUAUAUUGGUGUUUGAA